UUUUUUUUUUUUUUUUUUUUUUGCUUUUUUAGGGCCACACUUGUGGUGUAUGGAAGUUUCCGGGCUAGGGUUGAAUCAGGGCUGCAGCUGCUGGCCUAUGCCACAGCCACACAGCAUCUGAGCCAGCACCAUAGUUUGGAUCAUGGUAAUGUCAGAUCCUUAACCCACUGAAUGAGGCCAGGGAUCAAACCCACAUCCUCAUGGAUACUAGUUGGGUUUGUUACCGCUGAGCCAUAGUGGGAACUCCAGGGAUGCAUGUAUUUUUGAAUUCUAGCUCUGUCCAGAUAUACUUCCAUAUACUUGUGGGAGAGUGGGAUUGCUGCAUCAUAUGGUAGUUCUAUAUUUAGUUUCCUGAGGAACCUCCAUACUGUUUUCCAUGAUGUUGGUACCAAUUUACAUUCCCACCAACAGUGUGGGAGAGUUCCCUUUUCUCCUCACCCUCGCCGGCAUUUGUUAUUUGUAGACUUAUUAAUGAUGGGCCUUCUAACCGGUGUGAGGUGGUAGAUACCUCAUUAUAGUUUUGAUUUGCAUUUCUCUAAUAAUUAGUCAUGUUGAGCAUCUUUUCAUGUGCCUACUGGCCAUCCAUAUGUCUUCCUUGGAGAAAUGUCUAUUUAGGUCUUCUGCCCAUUUUUCAAUUGGGUUGUUUAUUUGUUUUUUGUUGUUGUUGUUGUGUUGAGUUGUAUGAGUUGUUUGUAUAUUUUAGAGAUUAAGUCCUUAUUGGUUGCAUUGUUUGCAACUGCUUUUUCCCAUUUCAUAGGUUUUCUUUUUUUCUUUUUUUUGGUAUGGCUUCCUUUGCUGUGCAAAAGCUUGCGAGUUUGAUUAGGUCCCUUUGUUUAUUUGGGGUUUUAUUUCUAUUGCCUCAGGAGACUGAUCUAAAAAAAACACUUGUAUGGUUGGUGCCAGAGAAUGUUUUGAAAAACCCACAAACUUUAAAUGUAUGGGUUUCUUUUCGGACUGUCCACUGUCUUCCAUUGAGCUCUCUGUCCCCGCUUCGGCCAGGACCACAGUGUCUUGAUCACUGUAGCUUUGUCACCCUGAGUUAUUUUAUGUCUAGUCUUAGGGAUGGACGUUAAAGAAAAAUGAUGUGGUUCUUACAUUUCCAGGUAAGGAGAUCAGAGCCUUCUUAUUCAGGAUCCAAGCAACCCGGGUGCCUGCCACCUCCCUGGCCGAGCCAUUGUGACUUCUGCAGUUGGAUUUUGUUGUCCAUGCAGGUAUGGAGGGUUUGGUGAGAUAUUUGCAACAGGAGGCUUUUUUCCCAGGAUGGAAGGGCUGAUGAAAAUGUCAGUUUUUCAGGUCUUUCAACCUUUAAUGGAUCCUGAAACUGGAUGGCCGACUGGCUUCAAGUUGCUUUUUCUUUUCUUAUCGGUUUGGAUCUUUUUACAGCCGGACUCUCCUCUUCCAGCUCGAACCUGCUGUGCAGUGAGCUUCAGAGGACAGAGAUAGCAGUUGUUUUCUUUGUUUUGUUGUUGCUUUUGGCUUUUGAUAUUUUAUUUUGAAAUAAUUCCAGAGGCUUGGAAAUGUUGCAAAGACAGAACAGAGAGUUUCCGUGUACCUUUUAGCCACCUCUCCCCCAACCCUCACCUUAGCACCUAACAGACUGCAGAAGCACCACCCAGAGUAGGCAAGGAACGUGAAGGAGUCAGAACUGCAGAUUUUAUUAGGAUCCUACCAGUCGGCCCCCUUAACAUCCCUUUUCUGCCCCAGGACCCCAUCCUGGACCCCACAGUGAGGUAGGCGGCAGGCUUGAACUCCUCUGGUGGGCUGGGGGUGGGGGCGGGUGUGUUUCUCUUGUCUGUCUUGACCUUGGCACUUUUGGCGAGCUCUGCUGGGGAAUUUUCUAGAGAAGGUUAUGCAUCUGGGGGAGGUUGCCCCAGGGCGAGGUGUCCUCAAAGCUGCUGCUGUGCCUCUUCAUAGGUUGGGAUCAGCCUUCACCCUUUGGUUAAGGUUCCGCCGCCCCGGGGUCUCUGCCAGGUUACAAUUUUUGUCCCUCUGGGACCUUGAGACAAGGCACCCUGUUUCUCCUCAAACGUUUGCCUGGUGAGUCCAUCCUCUGCAGAGGGUCUUUCCUGCCGCAGUGGUUACUGUGCAGAUCUCAUGUUGCCUUCACUCCUGUGUUGAUGAGCUAGAAUUGUUUGUAGGAAAGAGCUGUCCCUUCUCCCCUCCCUUAUACCACGUUGGGAAUUCCAGGAAAGACGGGAUAUGUUUAUGGCGUCCUGUGGCUUCUGGGCCGGAACUGUCACUCCUCAUCCUGUUGACCCAGUUGUCCUUGCCUUGGUUGUCAGUCGCCCCUUCGCCAGGCUCCUCCCCUUCCUGGGUGUCCCCAUCCUUCUCCGGGGAGCGCUGAUUCCCGGACUUGGGGAAGGAUGUUUAUUUCUUUUUUCUUUUUUUCCUUUUUUAUUACAGUUGAUUUACAAUGUUCUGUCAAUUUCUGCUGUACAACAAAGUGACCCAGUUAUACAUAUAUACGUUAUAUAUAUUCUUUUCCUCACAUUAUCCUCCAUCAUGUUCCAUCACAAGUGAUCGGAUGUAGUUCUCUGUGGUGUACAGCAGGAUCUCAUUGCUUAUCCACUCCACAUGCUAUAGUUAGCAUCUACCAACCCCAAACUCCCAGUCCACCCCACUCUCUUGGGGAAGGAUAUUUAAAAGCUGAGAUUGGAGCUCCCUAGAGGCUCAGUGGGUUAAGGAUCUGGGGUUGUCAGUGCUGUGGUGCAGGUUCGAUCCCUGCCCUGGGGAUUUCUGCGUGCUAGAGGCAUGGCCAAAAAAAAAAAA
ensembl:lncRNA